CCAAUAGCGUAUAUUAAAGUUGUUGCAGUUAAAAAGCUCGUAGUUGAACUUCGGGGUUCACCCAUUGGUCAGGCUUAAUUGUCUGUACUGGUGAGAUGAAUCUCUACCUUCUGAGGAACUUUCAUGCCCUUUAUUUGGUGUGAUGGGAAAUCAGGACUGUUACUUUGAAAAAAUUAGAGUGUUUAAAGCAGGCUAACGUCUGAAUACAUUAGCAUGGAAUAAUGAAAUAGGACGGAUUGAUUCUAUUUCGUUAGUUUCUAGGAUCACCGUAAUGAUUAAUAGGGAUAGUUGGGGGCAUUAGUAUUCAAUUGUCAGAGGUGAAAUUCUUGGAUUUAUUGAAGACUAACUACUGCGAAAGCAUUUGCCAAGGAUGUUUUCAUUAAUCAAGAACAAAAGUUAGGGGAUCGAAGACGAUCAGAUACCGUCGUAGUCUUAACCAUAAACUAUGCCGACUAGGGAUCGGACGAAGUUAAUUUUAUAAUGACGCGUUCGGCACCUUACG
rnacentral:rRNA from 1 species